GGCCGAGGUUGUGGGCAGGCACAGGGAAGCCUUGAAGUCCUGUGGCAUAUCCUCAGGGCUGGUGUUGUCGUAGCGGUAUGGCUCCGAGAUGAAGUGCGGGAGAGUCAUGAGCAGGCCCGCCAGGGCCACAAGGAUAGCCCCAUAGCCAAUCAUUCGGGGUCGGUGCACCCGGCUGCCAAAAUAGCUCACAAACACAAUCAAGGCUG
rnacentral:lncRNA from 1 species